AAGUGAAUGAUGAUAAUCCUAAUCUCCCACAACCUGCUCUUACAAAUCAUGACAGGAAUCUUCCUAACAUCGAAGGACCCAAAUUACAAAUCAAUUCCAUGAAACCACUACAUACGGAUCAAGCGAUUCUGCCGAUCCUUGUAAAAUCCUUCGAUGGAAGUCCAGAGAUAAUACGACAACGAACAGUAGAGUUAGCGACAGUUGGGUUAUAUUACAUCGGUAAUGCAGACUGCGUCCGCUGUUUCUUUUGUGGCAUUCUCCUGCGACGCUUUGAGCCCGAUGAUGAAGCUUGGACAGAACAUGUUCGAUGGAACCCCAGCUGUACAUUUGUGCAGUUGAACUCGUGAGAACACGUAUCCGCGUCGAGUGUUAAAAAAUCAAGAAUCAUUAUUUGAAAAACAAGUAACAGUAUUACGGAAUGGUUUGUGUUUAUGUCGAACACGACACAUUGUUUUAUACGGUUCUGUUACUUAUUACGAAAUAGGCUGACUCGUGCAAAUAAUGUUGUGUAAUCUUGCCCAAUAGUGUUUUGGAACCGAGGAACAUAACAUGCGUAGGACGAAAAGGGAACAAAAUUUUUAUAUGAAUGAGAACGAAGAUCUGAUAUUUAUGAAUUUAGUACCCAUUAACCAUUUUGUGUUUUAAAUGUAUUUUAUUAUAUUUACAAAUCAGACUUACUCAUACAGCUGUGUUUAUUGACUUCGCGAAAUAGUUUUGGUUUGAACAAUUCACAUCAUGUAAUCAUGUUGAGCAGAAAAGAUCA